rnacentral:tRNA from 1 species
CGGGAUAGCUCAGCUGGUAGAGCAGAGGACUGAAAA